GACACGGUCCAAACUCCUACGGGAGGCAGCAGUGAGGAAUAUUGGUCAAUGGGCGAGAGCCUGAACCAGCCAAGUAGCGUGAAGGAUGACUGCCCUAUGGGUUGUAAACUUCUUUUAUAAAGGAAUAAAGUCGGGUAUGUAUACCCGUUUGCAUGUACUUUAUGAAUAAGGAUCGGCUAACUCCGUGCCAGCAGCCGCGGUAAUACGGAGGAUCCGAGCGUUAUCCGGAUUUAUUGGGUUUAAAGGGAGCGUAGAUGGAUGUUUAAGUCAGUUGUGAAAGUUUGCGGCUCAACCGUAAAAUUGCAGUUGAUACUGGAUAUCUUGAGUGCAGUUGAGGCAGGCGGAAUUCGUGGUGUAGCGGUGAAAUGCUUAGAUAUCACGAAGAACUCCGAUUGCGAAGGCAGCCUGCUAAGCUGCAACUGACAUUGAGGCUCGAAAGUGUGGGUAUCAAACAGGAUUAGAUACCCUGGUAGUCCACACGGUAAACGAUGAAUACUCGCUGUUUGCGAUAUACUGCAAGCGGCCAAGCGAAAGCGUUAAGUAUUCCACCUGGGGAGUACGCCGGCAACGGUGAAACUCAAAGGAAUUGACGGGGGCCCGCACAAGCGGAGGAACAUGUGGUUUAAUUCGAUGAUACGCGAGGAACCUUACCCGGGCUUAAAUUGCAGAUGAAUUACGGUGAAAGCCGUAAGCCGCAAGGCAUCUGUGAAGGUGCUGCAUGGUUGUCGUCAGCUCGUGCCGUGAGGUGUCGGCUUAAGUGCCAUAACGAGCGCAACCCUUGUUGUCAGUUACUAACAGGUUCCGCUGAGGACUCUGACAAGACUGCCAUCGUAAGAUGUGAGGAAGGUGGGGAUGACGUCAAAUCAGCACGGCCCUUACGUCCGGGGCUACACACGUGUUACAAUGGGGGGUACAGAGGGCCGCUACCACGCGAGUGGAUGCCAAUCCCCAAAACCUCUCUCAGUUCGGACUGGAGUCUGCAACCCGACUCCACGAAGCUGGAUUCGCUAGUAAUCGCGCAUCAGCCAUGGCGCGGUGAAUACGUUCCCGGGCCUUGUACACACCGCCCGUCAAGCCAUGAAAGCCGGGGGUACCUGAAGUACGUAACCGCAAGGAGCGUCCUAGGGUAAAACUGGUAAUUGGGGCUAAGUCGUAACAAGGUAGCCGUACCGGAAGGUGCGGCUG
rnacentral:rRNA from 1 species